rnacentral:snoRNA from 1 species
AGACCAUGAUGUGGACAACUCCUUGAAACGCUCCCAACAAUCAUACAAGGUUUCAUUUCCUGCUAAAGAAAACUUACUAUAUCAUUCCUCACCUU